rnacentral:misc_RNA from 1 species
CCUGAAUAUGGGCUUCGGCCCUCAUUCUACCCUUGUGUAUCUUACCUUUGUUGUUCCCUCGGCGGGUCUCCCGCCGAUGGGUACCCACAAACCCUUUUGCAUUUAGCAUCAAAAUUCUGAUAAAACAUAAAUAAUCA